rnacentral:rRNA from 1 species
CAGCCGCCGCGGUAAUACGAAGGGGGCUAGCGUUGCUCGGAAUGACUGGGCGUAAAGGGCGCGUAGGCGGAUUGGAUUGUCAGGCGUGAAAUUCCUGGGCUCAACCUGGGGACUGCGUUUGAGACGUCUGGACUAGAGUUUGGAAGAGUGUCGUGGAAUUCCCAGUGUAGAGGUGAAAUUCGUAGAUAUCAGAAGGAACACCUGUGGCGAAAGCGGCUCACUGGACAAUAACUGACGCUGAUGCACGAAAGCUAGGGGAGCAAACAGGAUUAGAUACCCCAGUAGUCCCUGUCUCUUAUAC